rnacentral:rRNA from 1 species
CCUACGGGAGGCUGCAGUGGGGAAUAUUGGACAAUGGGCGAAAGCCUGAUCCAGCCAUGCCGCGUGUGUGAAGAAGGCCUUCGGGUUGUAAAGCACUUUCAGUGGGGAAGAAAGCCUUGGGGCUAAUACCCUCGAGGAAGGACAUCACCCACAGAAGAAGCACCGGCUAACUCCGUGCCAGCAGCCGCGGUAAUACGGAGGGUGCGAGCGUUAAUCGGAAUUACUGGGCGUAAAGCGCGCGUAGGCGGUCUGAUAAGCCGGUUGUGAAAGCCCCGGGCUCAACCUGGGAACGGCAUCCGGAACUGUCAGGCUAGAGUGCAGGAGAGGAAGGUAGAAUUCCCGGUGUAGCGGUGAAAUGCGUAGAGAUCGGGAGGAAUACCAGUGGCGAAGGCGGCUUUCUGGACUGACACUGACGCUGAGGUGCGAAAGCGUGGGUAGCAAACAGGAUUAGAUACCCCAGUAGUC